rnacentral:rRNA from 1 species
UGGCUGCGAUCUAAUUCGCCUGGAACGGCGGGUCAGAGAGGGUGAGAAUCCCGUCUGGGGUCGCGUGCCGUCGCCCGUGUGAAGCUCCUUCGACGAGUCGAGUUGUUUGGGAAUGCAGCUCCAAAUGGGUGGUAAAUUCCAUCUAAAGCUAAAUAUGGGCCAGAGACCGAUAGCGCACAAGUAGAGUGAUCGAAAGAUGAAAAGCACUUUGAAAAGAGAGUUAAACAGUAUGUGAAAUUGUUGAAAGGGAAGCGCUGGCCACCAGACUUGCGGGUGACGGUUCCCCCGGCCCUCCGUGGCCGGGCUACUCCGUCACCUCCAGGCCAGCAUCGGUUCGGGUGGUCGGUCAAAGGCCCCGGGAAGGUAUCUACCUCCGGGUCGACUUACAGCCCGGGGCGCCAUGCGGCCCACCCGGACCGAGGAACGCGCCCGCUCUGGGCUCGGAUGUUGGCGUAAUGGUGGUCAGCGGCCCGUCUUGAAACACGGACCAAGGAGUCUAACAUCCAUGCGAGUGUUUGGGUGUCAAACCCCGGCGCGGAAUGAAAGUGAACGGAGGUGAGAGCCCCGCGAGGGGUGCAUCAUCGACCGAUCCGGAUGUCUUCGGAUGGAUUUGAGUAAGAGCAUGGCUGUUGGGACCCGAAAGAUGGUGAACUAUGCCUGGAUAGGGUGAAGCCAGAGGAAACUCUGGUGGAGGCUCGCAGCGGUUCUGACGUGCAAAUCGAUCGUCGAAUCUGGGUAUAGGGGCGAAAGACCAAUCGAACCGUCUGGUAGCUGGUUCCUGCCGAAGUUUCCCUCAGGAUAGCAGUAACGGCGACAGUUUUAUGAGGUAAAGCGAAUGAUUAGAGGCCUUGGGGUUGAAACAACCUUAACCUAUUCUCAAACUUUAAAUAUGUAAGAAGUCC